GCUGGGCGUGGUGGCGUGUGCCUGUAAUCCCAGCUACUCGGAGGCUGGGGCAGGAGAAUCACUUGAACCAGGGUGGUGGAGGUUGCAGUGAGCCAAGAUCACACCACUGCACUCCAGCCUGGGUGACAGAGUGAGACUCUGUCUCAA
rnacentral:SRP_RNA from 1 species